rnacentral:rRNA from 1 species
CUGCGGUAGUGUGCUAUACAUGCAGUCGAGCGGACAGAUGGGAGCUUGCUCCCUGAUGUUAGCAGGCGGACGGGUGAGUAACACGUGGGUAACCUGCCUGUAAGACUGGGAUAACUCCGGGAAACCGGGGCUAAUACCGGAUGGUUGUUUGAACCGCAUGGUUCAGACAUAAAAGGUGGCUUCGGCUACCACUUACAGAUGGACCCGCGGCGCAUUAGCUAGUUGGUGAGGUAACGGCUCACCAAGGCAACGAUGCGUAGCCGACCUGAGAGGGUGAUCGGCCACACUGGGACUGAGACACGGCCCAGACUCCUACGGGAGGCAGCAGUAGGGAAUCUUCCGCAAUGGACGAAAGUCUGACGGAGCAACGCCGCGUGAGUGAUGAAGGUUUUCGGAUCGUAAAGCUCUGUUGUUAGGGAAGAACAAGUGCCGUUCAAAUAGGGCGGCACCUUGACGGUACCUAACCAGAAAGCCACGGCUAACUACGUGCCAGCAGCCGCGGUAAUACGUAGGUGGCAAGCGUUGUCCGGAAUUAUUGGGCGUAAAGGGCUCGCAGGCGGUUUCUUAAGUCUGAUGUGAAAGCCCCCGGCUCAACCGGGGAGGGUCAUUGGAAACCUCGGGAACUUGCAGUGACAGAAAGAGGGAGAGUAGAAUUCCAACGUGUAGCCGGUGAAAUGCGUAGAGACGUGGAGGGAACACCAGUGGCGAAGGCGACUCUCUGGUCUGUAACUGACGCUGAGGAGCGAAAGCGUGGGGAGCGAACAGGAUUAGAUACCCUGGUAGUCCACGCCGUAAACGAUGAGUGCUAAGUGUUAGGGGGUUUCCGCCCCUUAGUGCUGCAGCUAACGCAUUAAGCACUCCGCCUUGGGGGAGUACGGUCGCAAGACUGAAACUUCAAAGGAAUUGGACGGGGGGCCCGCACAAGCGGUGGAAACAUGAGAUUUAAUUCCGAAGCAACGCCGAAGAACCUUACCAGGUCUUGACAUCCUCUGACAAUCCUAGAGAUAGGACGUCCCCUUCGGGGGCAGAGUGACAGGUGGUGCAUGGUUGUCGUCAGCUCGUGUCGUGAGAUGUUGGGUUAAGUCCCGCAACGAGCGCAACCCUUGAUCUUAGUUGCCAGCAUUCAGUUGGGCACUCUAAGGUGACUGCCGGUGACAAACCGGAGGAAGGUGGGGAUGACGUCAAAUCAUCAUGCCCCUUAUGACCUGGGCUACACACGUGCUACAAUGGACAGAACAAAGGGCAGCGAAACCGCGAGGUUAAGCCAAUCCCACAAAUCUGUUCUCAGUUCGGAUCGCAGUCUGCAACUCGACUGCGUGAAGCUGGAAUCGCUAGUAAUCGCGGAUCAGCAUGCCGCGGUGAAUACGUUCCCGGGCCUUGUACACACCGCCCGUCACACCACGAGAGUUUGUAACACCCGAAGUCGGUGAGGUAACCUUUUAGGAGCCAGCCGCCGAAGGUGGGACAGAUGAUUGGUGGAAGUCUAAUCAAGACGACACCCCC